rnacentral:rRNA from 1 species
UACGUAGGGUGCGAGCGUUGUCCGGAAUUAUUGGGCGUAAAGGGCUCGUAGGCGGUCUGUUACGUCGGGAGUGAAAACUCGGGGCUCAACCCCGAGCCUGCUUCCGAUACGGGCAGACUAGAGGUAUGCAGGGGAGAAUGGAAUUCCUGGUGUAGCGGUGAAAUGCGUAGAUAUCGGGAGGAACACCAGUGGCGAAGGCGACUACCUGGCCUGUUCUUGACGCUGAGGCGCGAAAGCUAGGGGAGCAAACGGG